rnacentral:rRNA from 1 species
GAUGAACGCUGGCGGCGUGCCUAACACAUGCAAGUCGAACGGAGAGGCGCGUUGCUUUCUGGUGGGUGUGGAUGAGCGGCCGACGGGUGAGCAAGACGUGAGUAACCUGCCCCCUCUUUCUGGAUAACCGCAUGCCAGAGUUGCUACUAGGGGAUAUUUUGGAUCUGUUGCUUGAUGGGUCUGGGACGGAUCUUGUUUCGGUUGGGGAUGGGCUCGCGGCGUAUCAGCUUGUUGGUGGGGUGACGGCCUACCAAGGCGGUGACGAGUAGCCGGCCUGAGAGGGUGGGCGGUCACACUGGGGAUGAGACACGGCCCAGACUCCUACGGGAGGCAGUAGGGGGGAAUACUGCACGGUGGGCGGAAGGCUGAUGCAGCGACGCCGCGUGAGUGAUGGAGGCCUGCUGGUUGAAAACCGCUUUCGGGAGUGAAGCAAGCCUGCCUCGUUUGUGGGCGGCUUGACGGUAGCUGAUCAAGAAGCCACGGCUAACUACGUG